AUACGUAGGGAGCGAGCGUUGUCCGGAAUUACUGGGCGUAAAGGGUGCGUAGGCGGCAUGGCAAGUCAGAUGUGAAAUACCCAGGCUUAACUUGGGGGGUGCAUUUGAAACUGCUGUGCUUGAGUGCAGGAGAGGAAAGCGGAAUUCCUAGUGUAGCGGUGAAAUGCGUAGAUAUUGGGAAGAACACCAGUGGCGAAGGCGGCUUUCUGGACUGUAACUGACGCUGAGGCACGAAAGCGUGGGGAGCAAACAGGAUUAGAUACCCUGGUAGUCCACGCUGUAAACGAUGGAUACUAGGUGUAGGGGAGAUACACCCUCUGUGCCGGAGCAAACGCAAUAAGUAUCCCGUCUGGGGAGUACGGUCGCAAGGCUGAA
rnacentral:rRNA from 1 species